UUCAAGGCUGGCUGAUCUCUGGCACGCUUUUGUUCAAACUCAAGUCAAGUCAGUCAUAAUCGCCUGCCUAGACUUUAGUUUAGCUACUACACUGUAGUAUGUGAAUAGCAGCAGGCAACACGAAUUUCGCUCUUGAUAUUGAUUUCUUUAAACGGCUCUUAUUUACAAUAUUCAUGGUUUUGUCAGCCAGUAGUGCCAUUUAGGCUUGAAAGUAGAUAUAUUGGUAUUUUAGUUGGCGUGUGAUAACUUGGGCAACGACUUCAGAUACGAGCAAGGUCUCGGGACAAGGCAUCACCUUUUGGAAGGACAGAUUUGACACAACUUUCAGACUAAUUUUCACCAGGUUGAACUCUUCGAUAGCUUCUAUGUUUCUUCUAUAGGCUAGUGUUGGACUGUCCUCUUGGCGUAUGUGUCUGUUUGUCACAUCCCCUCUGGAAGUCUAUGGAGAGAAGCUGUUCAACUUGGAUGUUAUCCUCACGCGACUCUGGAUUUAGUUACGUACUGUGAGACGUACACGCGGACCCCCAGAGGCCAGACGGUGAAUGUUGACUUUACGACAAGAAUAGUCGAAAACACCAGACUUUACCCGAUUUGAAUGCCUGUGCAAGGAUUUUGUUGGUUUCUGUGCUGCAGGCAGGGUUUCAAUUUGCUCGGACGGGACUAUGGGGAGAAAGAGGAGGAAGAAUCUUUUGAGUUGCGCAACAAGGAGGAUCUGACCUGCAACGGACGUGGUCCACUUGAGGUGACUCUCUCUCAGCCGACUCGCACAGCCAAUGGGACAAACGGAUCCACAGAUGACGCAAUCUCAAUCGCACUCCACACUGCCCUUUCCCACCAGGACAAAAGGAACACCUAUGUGAGAAUGCUGUUCAUUGACUACAGCUCAGCGUUCAAUACCAUAGUGCCCGCCUAUAGGGAGGAGGUCAGAGACAACAACCUCUUCCUCAACGUGAACAAGACAAAGGAGCUGAUUGUGGACUACAGGAAAAAGAGGGUCGAACGUGCCCCCCAUUCACAUCGACGGGCUGUAGUGGAGCGGGUCGAGAGUUUAAAGUUCCUUGGUGUCCACAUCACCAACAAACUAUCAUGGUCCAAAUACACCAAGACAGUCGUGAAGAGGGCACAACAACACAUUUUCCCCCUCAGGAGACUGAAAAGAUUUGGCAUUGGUCCCCAGAUCCUCAAAAGAGUUCUACUGCUGCACAAUCGAGAGCAUCCUGACCGGUUGCAUCACCGCCUGUUACGGCUACUGCUUAUCACCUGAC
rnacentral:lncRNA from 1 species